UACUUAUACUUAAAAAUUUUUGGAAUAAUAGUAAUUAUGAAAUUUAACAGAUUUGGCGGCAAGAUAGCUAUUUAGAGGAACCUGCCCUGUAAACGAUGAACCACGAAUUACUCUACUUUUAUUAGUUAUCAGUUUGUAUACCGCUGUUGUCAGUCAGUUUUCUUAGAAAACUUUCUAUAUGAUAAAAUCAGAUACUUCAAGUAAAGGUGCAGUUUAUGUAAAAGAUAGAGGUGGGUUACAUUUAUUUUGAUUAAAACGGAUAAAGUCUCUGAAAACACUUUUGAAGGUGGAUUUAAAUGUAAAGUUUAAAAAAACUUGAUAUUAAGCUCUAUCUUGUGUACAC
rnacentral:rRNA from 1 species